rnacentral:ncRNA from 1 species
AGAACGACACGGGUGCUUUCCGUCGUGAGGCGGAAGGCUGAGAAAGACCGAUAGAACGUUUACCGGGUAAUGCCGGCGUACGGAUUGUCCCUUCACCCGUG